AAGGAAGGGGAUGACUAGUGACAGAGUGAGAGAGGGGGUGACUAGUGACAGAGUGAGGGAGGGGGUGACUGUCAUUAGUCACUAGUCACCACCUCCCUUAUCUGUCCCUAGUCACUCCUCCCUCUGUCCCUAGUCACCCCCUCCCUCUCUGUGUCACUAGUCACCCCUUCCCUCCCUAACUCUGUCACUAGUCACUACUUCCCUCCCUCACUCUGUCACUAGUCACCCCCUCCCU